rnacentral:rRNA from 1 species
AUGCACGUCGAGCGAACUGAUUAGAAGCUUGCUUCUAUGACGUUAGCGGCGGACGGGUGAGUAACACGUGGGCAACCUGCCUGUAAGACUGGGAUAACUUCGGGAAACCGAAGCUAAUACCGGAUAGGAUCUUCUCCUUCAUGGGAGAUGAUUGAAAGAUGGUUUCGGCUAUCACUUACAGAUGGGCCCGCGGUGCAUUAGCUAGUUGGUGAGGUAACGGCUCACCAAGGCAACGAUGCAUAGCCGACCUGAGAGGGUGAUCGGCCACACUGGGACUGAGACACGGCCCAGACUCCUACGGGAGGCAGCAGUAGGGAAUCUUCCGCAAUGGACGAAAGUCUGACGGAGCAACGCCGCGUGAGUGAUGAAGGCUUUCGGGUCGUAAAACUCUGUUGUUAGGGAAGAACAAGUACGAGAGUAACUGCUCGUACCUUGACGGUACCUAACCAGAAAGCCACGGCUAACUACGUGCCAGCAGCCGCGGUAAUACGUAGGUGGCAAGCGUUAUCCGGAAUUAUUGGGCGUAAAGCGCGCGCAGGCGGUUUCUUAAGUCUGAUGUGAAAGCCCACGGCUCAACCGUGGAGGGUCAUUGGAAACUGGGGAACUUGAGUGCAGAAGAGAAAAGCGGAAUUCCACGUGUAGCGGUGAAAUGCGUAGAGAUGUGGAGGAACACCAGUGGCGAAGGCGGCUUUUUUGGUC